UACGUAGGGCGCAAGCGUUGUCCGGAAUUAUUGGGCGUAAAGAGCUCGUAGGCGGUUCAGUAAGUCGGGUGUGAAAACUUUGGGCUUAACCCAAAGCGUGCAUCUGAUACUGCUGUGACUUGAGUUCGGUAGGGGAGAGGGGAAUUCCUAGUGUAGCGGUGAAAUGCGCAGAUAUUAGGAGGAACACCGGUGGCGAAGGCGCCACUCUGGGCCGAAACUGACGCUGAGGAGCGAAAGCAUGGGUAGCAAACAGG
rnacentral:rRNA from 1 species